CCAAGAGCAGGGAGCGGUGCUUUGUGGGCACAAAAGGUGGGUACAUGAUGUGCACCUGAAACGUGAAAAUCACAACAAGAUUUGCCUUUGCUCCAGGAAAUCCAGGAAGGAAAGGGUUUGAAUAAUGAACCAGAAGUAAUGCAAUUACUGCAACAACAUUUAUAAUGAGCUGAACCUACUGAAAGGCACCAGGACAGUCACUUUGGGGGAGCUCUGGACCUGAAAACCAUCUCUGUCAGCACCUUCUCACCUUCAGGAACCCCAGCCAGCCCCUGUGGAUGACUCCUCUGCUCCCCACCCCAGCAGCAGGGCACACACCAGGCUGGCAGUGCCCACCUACCCUUGAAGAGCUGCUCAGCCUCAGCCUGGCACACCACCAGCGUGGACACACA